GCAUUGAAAGUGAGAAUUGGAGGAAAACAAACUGAUCAUACACUGUUUGAUGUUUCCAGCUUGUUUUUCUCCAAUGUCUCACCUUCAGUAG
rnacentral:pre_miRNA from 1 species